AAUUGGAGGUCCAGCCUGCCCAGUGACUACAAGUUCAACGGCCGCGGUAUUUUGACCGUGCAAAGGUAGCGCAAUCACUUGUCUUUUAAAUAGAGACCUGUAUGAAUGGCUAAACGAGGGCUUAACUGUCUCCCUUUUCAAGUCAGUGAAAUUGAUCUAUCCGUGCAGAAGCGGGUAUAAUAAUACAAGACGAGAAGACCCUUUGGAGCUUAAGGUACAAAAUUCAACCACGUCAAGCAAGUCAAUAAAAAAUAGUAAACCUUGUGGAACAUGAAACUUUACCUUCGGUUGGGGCGACCACGGAGGAAAACAAAGCCUCCAAGUGGAUUGGAAUAAAUUCCCUAAAACCAAGAGAAACAUCUCUAAGCCACAGAACAUCUGACCAAACAUGAUCCGGCCACAAAGCCGAUCAACGAACCAAGUUACCCAAGGGAUAACAGCGCAAUCCUCUCCCAGAGUCCAUAUCGACGAGGGGGUUUACGACCUCGAUGUUGGAUCAGGACAUCCUAAUGGUGCAGCCGCUAUUAAGGGUUCGUUUGUUCAACGAUUAAAGUCCUACGUGA
rnacentral:rRNA from 1 species